ACUUGAUGACAUCGACGAUGAUUGCACGUGUAUUUAUAUUCCAACCUUCUUUUUAUAUAAAAGUAGCUCCGCAACAGGUAAAAGUGCUUGCAAAGCCAUAUUACAAAAUGGUGCAAUUCGCUUGACCCACUUAUCGAGGUCCGCUUCAGACAAGGCUUUACUUUCCUAAUGAUUCAUGCGACAGUCGGUUCAAAACAUUACGUACAGUUCUUUCAAAGAACUUUAAGUGGCUUAACAAGCUCUAAAACAAACAAAAAAUAUGUAUAUGGGCCAAUAGACGCCGCAUAGCAGUCAGUUUUCAAUGAAAUAUGACGACCCCACAACUGAAUAGGUCAAUUGGCACACCCUUGUAUGUAUGUAUUGUAAAGCAAUUGCCUUGGACUAUUUAAGUCUACCAUACUUCUGAGUGUUCAAUGAAACUACAUAUCACGAAAAGUACUGUUCUGCUGAUAAAAACUUAUCAAUAUAAAGCUGCCUAAAAGUGAGUAAGACUUUUUAGUCUGGUAAGCAAAACGAAUGAUAACAUACAUAUAUACAAGAAUAUUUCAUGGCUGUGCCUGUAUACGUACGUCCACACCUUACAUACGUACCUUACGAUAUGCAAAGAGAUCCUUCUGCAGCCGUUGUCGUUCUGCUGUCGGCUGUUGCCCCUUUCCACGAAUAAACUUUAACAUUGUUGCACGAAUUUAAUUUGACGUAACACAAUAACAAUACGGAUUUCACUUUUUGGGGAUUUAAAAACAC